rnacentral:rRNA from 1 species
GUCUUUUUGAGAAUAAUUUAAAGUCUAAUCUGCCCACUGAUUAAUAUUAAAGGGCUGCAGUAUAAUGACUGUACAAAGGUAGCAUAAUCAAUAGUUUUUUAAUUGGAAACUUGUAUGAAAGAUUUGAUGAAAUAUAAACUGUCUCUUAUUUAUUAUUAGAAAUUUAUUUUUUAGUUAAAAAGCUAAAAUAAUUUUAAAAGACGAGAAGACCCUAUAGAGUUUUAUAUUUAUUUUUAUUUUAUAGGUAUAUAAAAAUUUAAAAUAAGAUAAAAAUAAAUAUUUUGUUGGGGUGACAGAAAAAUUAAAUUAACUUUUUUUAAAAAUUAAACAUAGAUAAAUGAUUAAAUGAUCCAUUAAUAAUGAUUAUAAGAAAAAAUUACCUUAGGGAUAACAGCGUAAUAUUUUUUUUUAGUUCGUAUAAAAAAGAAAGUUUGCGACCUCGAUGUUGGAUUAAGGUAAAAUUUAAAUGCAAAAGUUUAAAAUUUUGAUCUGUUCGAUCAUUAAAACCUU